GACGAACGCUGGCGGCGUGCUUAACACAUGCCAGUCGAACGGAAAGGCCUUUUCGGAGGUACUCGAGUGGCGAACGGGUGAGUAACACGUGGGUGAUCUGCCCUGCACUCUGGGAUAAGCCUGGGAAACUGGGUCUAAUACCGGAUAGGACCGCACUUUAGUGUGUGUGGUGGAAAGUUUUUUCGGUGUAGGAUGAGCCCGCGGCCUAUCAGCUUGUUGGUGGGGUAAUGGCCUACCAAGGCGGCGACGGGUAGCCGGACUGAGAGGUUGGUCGGCCACAUUGGGACUGAGAUACGGCCCAGACUCCUACGGGAGGCAGCAGUGGGGAAUAUUGCACAAGGGGCGCAAGCCUGAUGCAGCGACGCCGCGUGGGGGAGGACGGCCUUCGGGUUGUAAACUCCUUUCGCCAGGGACGAAGCGUUUUGUGACGGUACCUGGAGAAGAAGCACCGGCUAACUACGUG
rnacentral:rRNA from 1 species